rnacentral:rRNA from 1 species
UUACUGAGUUUACGCUCUAUAACCCUUUGUGAACAUACCUAUAACUGUUGCUUCGGCGGGUAGGGUCUCCGUGACCCUCCCGGCCUCCCGCCCCCGGGCGGGUCGGCGCCCGCCGGAGGAUAACCAAACUCUGAUUUAACGACGUUUCUUCUGAGUGGUACAAGCAAAUAAUCAAAACUUUUAACAACGGAUCUCUUGGUUCUGGCAUCGAUGAAGAACGCAGCGAAAUGCGAUAAGUAAUGUGAAUUGCAGAAUUCAGUGAAUCAUCGAAUCUUUGAACGCACAUUGCGCCCGCCAGCAUUCUGGCGGGCAUGCCUGUUCGAGCGUCAUUUCAACCCUCAAGCUCUGCUUGGUGUUGGGGCCCUACAGCUGAUGUAGGCCCUCAAAGGUAGUGGCGGACCCUCCCGGAGCCUCCUUUGCGUAGUAACUUUACGUCUCGCACUGGGAUCCGGAGGGACUCUUGCCGUAAAACCCCCAAUUUUCCAAAGGUUGACCUCGGAUCAGGUAGGAAUACCCGCUGAACUUAAGCAUAUCAAUAAGCGGAGGAAAAGAAACCAACAGGGAUUGCCUCAGUAACGGCGAGUGAAGCGGCAACAGCUCAAAUUUGAAAUCUGGCCCUAGGCCCGAGUUGUAAUUU